UCUCUCUUGUAACAUCUCUCAAUGUUCUUAACUCCUGUUAUGUUACCACCUGGUUUUUAAUUUUCAUAUUGCUGAGGAGAUGGUACAUUCUUACUACUCCAAAAUGGUGUCAAUGCAAGGAGCUCACACAACAGAAGGAGUGGUUCAUGAAGCAACACAAAACUCUUGUAUAAAGACACUCCUUUUCUUCCAGAGAUUGUUGAGAAGAAUAAUCCACAUUAUGAUUGUGACCUAUUAACUGAAGUAAUAGCUAGUUUGUCUGAAAAUAUAAAAACUCCAUCGCACUCUAAUGAAGUCAGUCAGAUGUCUCCCAGACCAUGGCAGUGAAAUCUCCCAGGGUUCUUUCUCUGUCAGCUCCUAGCACUGAACUUUCCAGGACCCAAUUGUAGGAUUUUCUAAAUAAUGGGCUUCCAUCUGGGGAGCCCGCUUGUACCAAUGAUCAGCUGGAACCUUUAAUUUGGGGGUCUUCAGGCUUACAAGUGAAGGUAUUCAAUUCAAUCCCGUUUAUCACGGCAGCUUGCAAGUGUACAUCUAAGUGAGUGACAGAGAUUUGUACAACUUGUUGACUUUGAAUUGAAAGUGAUGUGAAAGUCCAAAUGCUAUGACAAUGUAACCAGUUUGUUACCUCGAAGUCCUUAGAGAUGGACAGCUCAGUGCUGCUGGUGUGUUUUGCUCUGAAGCUCAAUAACUUUAAUUUUAUUUCAACACUAAAUGACUCAGGCAAAUUAUAUAUUUUGCAUCCAGUCCACAUGAUUGAUUACUGGUGGGAAUUUAGAUUCUGGCAAGCUUUCAUCAGGCACUGGCUAUUCGAUCCAAAUUAUUUAGCAGCUUUAAAAAACUCCUUUUAUGUUCCAAAGAAUGAAUCAAAACAAACACUGCCAAAGUGUGAUUGGGUGUUCACCUCUCAUCAGCCCUGAAGGAGCUAAGAUGGUGCAGUUAGGGGCAAUUAACCUUAUAGGCUGUAUCUGGGGGAGAGUCUGGUUUGACUGAAAAUGCCUAAUGGCUGUUAAAAACUAACUGUGGAAGAAACUGGAUAAGGUAUAAAGCCAGGAAGUUUGCUGCAGAAAGGGGCUGCAGUGUAGAAGCUGGCAGCCUUUCUCUGGGCUUAGAGAGGGAAAAGGAGGAAACCCAGGAGGAGGGAAGAGAAGCCCUGGAAUCCUGUCUCAAGAGAAUGGUUUACCCAGAAGCAUGGAGGAGAGAGCCUGUGGGAGGCAGAGUAGGGAGCAAUGAGGUUAGAGAUCGUGCUGCUGAUUGUAGGGUACCUAGGCUGUAACCUGGAAUAGUGGGUGGGCCUGGGUUCCCCUACCAGGCACUGGGGAAGAGGUACAAGAUUGUGGGAGAUGCCAAUUGGACAUUUGGUUGACAGGGAUUUUGAUACCCCAGGAGGAGUAUACUAUGUUUGACUUGGAAAGCUGAGUCACAAAGAGAGAGCACCCCGAGUCCUAGAGAGUGAGAGGUGCUAUAGGGUGAACAAGCAUCUGAAAGAGGCACUAGACUAGACAAGAGCUGAUCCCCAGACCCAGUCACAACGGGGUCUCCCCAGUACUGUGUGUACUGCAUUAAAAAAUGACAACAGAAUGAAGAGGUUCCCUACUUGGAAUGGGAAUUCUGUGGAAAAUCUACAUGCAGUAGGCUUAUAACUUUUAACAAAACUAUUUUACAAAA